rnacentral:rRNA from 1 species
UACGAAGGGGGCUAGCGUUGCUCGGAAUCACUGGGCGUAAAGGGUGCGUAGGCGGGUCUUUAAGUCAGGGGUGAAAUCCUGGAGCUCAACUCCAGAACUGCCUUUGAUACUGAGGAUCUUGAGUUCGGGAGAGGUGAGUGGAACUGCGAGUGUAGAGGUGAAAUUCGUAGAUAUUCGCAAGAACACCAGUGGCGAAGGCGGACUCACUGGCCCGGU